rnacentral:rRNA from 1 species
UACGUAGGGGGCAAGCGUUAUCCGGAAUUACUGGGUGUAAAGGGAGCGUAGACGGCAAUGCAAGUCCGGAGUGGAAUGCGGCAGCUCAACUGCCGAACUGCUCUGGAAACUGUAUGGCUUGAGUGCAGGAGGGGUAAGCGGAAUUCCUGGUGUAGCGGUGAAAUGCGUAGAUAUCAGGAGGAACAUCGGUGGCGUAAGCGCUUUACUGGGCCGUAAUUGACGCUGAGGAACGAAAGCCAGGGUAGCAAAUGGG